rnacentral:lncRNA from 1 species
GGAAGAGAUCUUCUAGAGAGAGAGAGGGAGAGAAAUGAGUUGGAGAGGGUGUAAUGGCUGUGGGAGAGAAAGAAAGAGUGUGUUGGGGUUUUAUUAAGAUGCUAUAAUUGCAUUUAGACCCUCCCCAUUUUCAUAAUUGCAGCAGUUUUUAUUUUGCUAUUAGACCCAAAGUGUACCGGUACACGAAAUUUUGUACCGAUACAUUUU